UUGCCAGCCCUGGAGCCGGAGUCCUCUCUCUAUUAACAGAGCAGGUACAACACAGGCAGGGAAGGUGUAAGCUCUCUUCCUAGUGUGCCCCAGUCUUGCUCUGCAGGUACCUGUUCCAACAAAGACAGCUCAUUCUAUUCACUCAAUUGUUGUCUUAU
rnacentral:sRNA from 1 species